AAAACAACUUUUCUUUCUUGUUCUUUUAAUCUGUGUUUUUAUCAAGCGCUGUCGAACUGAAGGUGAGAAUCUGAAAGAACGGGAUUCAAUGAGGCAAACUGAAGAGGAUCCAGCAAGGGGCCAGUGAUGUCCUUCGUGUAGGCCAACAUCAGUUAUCAGUUCAGGAGGAAUCACUUGGCCCGGCUCGCUAGAUCCACCUUUCCAUGAUCCCCCCGUCAGCAUGGGAUGAUUGUCAUGAAACUCUUCCCAUGAUUUCAAGUGCUGCAUCAGGAGGAUGUUGUGAAAAAACAUGUCAGGAUACCUGAUCACUUCAGAGAACAAAACUGCACAUAGUGCAAUGGCGUCUUGGGGAGUCUGUAUAUAACGGUCGACUUUGGCGAGGUUCCCAUUCAUGUAGGACCAAACUGUCUCACUAAAAUGUUUAUUGAACUCUUUUGAUGUUUUCAGUGUUGCAUAACAAAGUCUUUUGUCUGAAAGAUGCAUGUCUUGCUCAUCUUUUUUGAUUGGACGACAGUACAGAUUGUUUGGUCGCAUCUGUAUCGUGAAUUUACCAACUAAAAAGUCAGUGGCCCUCAUGUCCUUUUUAUCCCAAGAUUUAAUGAGAAAACAUAUUAUUGCAGCAUAAUGAGGAAAACUUGUUAUUCUGAUCGGUGCUCGCCAUAUGUUGUCAGCGACUGAGUCCUGGGGAAUGUCUUGAAUUGUUGCAGCGGAACACCCUUCCCAGGAGGUGUACACUUUAGACGCUCCAUCCAGCAUUUUUGCAGAGGGACUUCCAACAUUUGUCCUUAGAUGAAAUAUAUCAAUACCGUCGCUCAGAAAGUUCUUCUCUUUCAUCUUCUCCGGAUGGAAGGACAGAAGGACUUCUAGCUUGUUGUCGUUCCCCUCGAACCUGGACUGCAUGAAUGCCAAAUACAGAGACGUGCGCAGAUAUUUCUUCAGAAGCAGUAGCCGAGAUUUGGCCCAAGUAUUGUUCAGUGGUUAUCAUUAAUAGUUGAAAUCUUCUUCAGUCUUCAUCAGUUAUAGCCGUAAUCUUGUUUGGUCAAUGGGGAAGUUCUCAUUUAGUCUAAGUAUUGUUCAGUGGUUAUCAUUAAUAGUUGAAAUAUUCUUCAGUCUUUAUCCAAAUAUUGUUCAGUGGUUAUGAUUAAUAGUUUAAAUCUUCUUCAGUCUUCAUCACUUACAGUCGUAAUCUUGUUCGGCCAGUGGGACAGUUCUCAUUUAGCCCACUUAUUGUUUAGGGGUUAUCAUUAAUAAUCGAAAUAUUCUUCAGUCUUUAUCACUUACAGUCGUAAUCUUGUUCAGUCAGUGGGACAGUUCUCAUUUAGUCUAAGUAUUGUUCAGUUAUUUAUCAUUAAUAGUUGAAAUCUUCUUCAGUCUUCAUCAGUUAUAGCCGUAAUCUUUUUUGGUCAAUGGGGAAGUUUUCAUUUAGUCUAAGUAUUGUUCAGUGGUUAUCAUUAAUAGUUGAAAUAUUCUUCAGUCUUUAUCACUUACAGUCGUAAUCUUGUUCGGUCAGUGGGACAGUUCUCAUUUAGCCCACUUAUUGUUUAGGGGUUAUCAUUAAUAAUCGAAAUAUUCUUGGUUCGAAAUCUUGUUCGGUCCACUUGCCCGAACUCAUGUUCAGGGGACGCAGUCAUUUUAUUUCAGGCCUUUUUCAUGCUUUUAGACAGGACAAGAAAGAGAGGGGGACUGGAAACUAAAUUGUCGAAAGACGGGAUUCGAUCUCGAAGUUUAACAAGUGGCGCUGCAGCACAUGUUAGCGCAUUAACCACUAGACUAUC